rnacentral:lncRNA from 1 species
CCUUAACUUCUUCCUUUUGUUUCUCUAAUUGUCUUAAAAUUCCUCUCGUUCCCUUAUUCCUAUAAACUAGGAAUUCAUAGUUCUAUCGACUAGAAGUUUUGGAUCAAUGGAGUUGGUUGUUGGGUGAACUCUGAUCACUUUUGAGGAGACCAACGACAUCGUCAAUUUUGAAGUCAUCGAUGCUUUCCAAAAGGUGUUCUCCUUAACAUUGGAAGAGGCCUUAAUGUUGAUGAACCUGAGUCUCUGCACUGCUGGAUGGUUUCUGCUGAAAUGGUUAGUAACUGAAGCAUUUAGACCAUGGUUGGUAACUUGGGAGGUAUCUUAUUCUGCUUGAAUGGUUUCUGCUGUAGGUUCAAGUCCACUCCACAUGUUGUAUAUGUUUGAUACAGUUGGGCAGGUCAUCCCCAAAUUUGAGAUUUUCUUUAACUUCAAGUUGUGCUACUUCAACCAACGUGUUAAUUAACACGGAUAGUUUUUCAAGUCUCCUAUGUUGCUAACAGAAAACAGCAUAACCUUUUUCCUUAUGCACUUACCUCUUCCUUUGGUGUUUUCCUAAAUUGUUCGCCCUUCUACUAAGUUCGAGAUAUAUUCUGAGUGGAUGGUCCUUGCUUAGGACUCCAACUCGUUAAUUUCAAUGUUUUACUUCAUAUAGGCCUCGAGUAAAAUAACUAUUGCUAUAGAAGUUAUUAUACACUGUAUUAUCAAACUAUUGCUAUAGUGUAAUAACUAGCAAAGGUGCCUGCGUGAUAUUGCGGGUUCUAAAACCGAGUGAAAUGUAUACAAAAUCGUGAAA